GGGGAUGGCUGGGGCUCAGUGGUAGAGCAUCCACUUGGCAUGCAGAAGGUUCCAUGUUCAAUCCCCAGCAUUUCCA
rnacentral:tRNA from 1 species